AUUAAAACACCAUUUCCCAUACAAUCACUGAAGUCAAGCAACAUCAAGCCUGGUCAGUACCUAGAUGGGUGACUGCUUGGGAAUAUCAGGUGCUGUAAG